GGUCUGGCUGCAGACAUGAUGCACUCUCAGACACACGCAUGCGCAGUUGGACACAUGCACUCUCAGACAUACGCAUGCGCAAUUGGACACAUGCACUCUCAGACACACCCAGGCGCACUGUUUAAAGUGCACGAACAGGCCACUCAACGUGAUACAUAGGAUUUAAAGGUGGUACAGAAAUUAUUGUCUUUCAACGUAAGUAACGUACGUUAGGGGAUUCAAAGACGGCAAAUGAAUUAUUAUGCAUCAAUCCGUAGUCUUGGCAGGUGUAAAGCACCUGAUACCAAAGUGCACAUCUUGUUGCAUAUUGUAUCAUUGCCCCUUGUGCCCUACACUGUAGCCAA